rnacentral:rRNA from 1 species
AUUGAACGCUGGCGGCAGGCCUAACACAUGCAAGUAGAACGAGUGGCGGACGGGUGAGUAAUGUCUGGGAAACUGACUGAUGGAGGGGGAUAACUAAUGGAAACGGUAGAUAAUACCGCAUACCAUCAGAUGUGCCCAGAUGGGAUUAGCUUGUUGGUGGGGUAACGGCUCAACAAGGCGCCGAUCCCUAGCUGGGCUGAGAGGAUGACCGUGCACACUGGAACUGAGACACGGUCCAGACGCCUACGGGAGGCAGCAGUGGGGAAUAUUGCACAAUGGUCGCAAGCCUGAUGCAGCCAUGCCGCGUGGAUGAAGAAGGCCUUCGGGUUGUAAAGUACGUUCAGCGGGGAGGCGUUACCCGCAGAAGAAGCACCGGCUAACUCCGUGCCAGCAGCCGCGGUAAUAC